UUUUAAUUAUCAAAAACAAACAUUAAAAUCCAGUGGCAGCCAUUGUAAAUAAGUCCCAACUACAGGAUUUAUUUCACAAAAUGGCUGCAAAAAUGUAUAUAUAGAUAAAUGAAAAACAAUAUCGGAGUUGAAAUAAU
rnacentral:sRNA from 1 species